rnacentral:tRNA from 1 species
GUAGACAUAGUUUAACUAAAACAUUAGAUUGUGAUUCUAAAGACAAGGGCGAACACCCCUUUGUUCACC